GGACGAUAUACUCAGCGAUAGAGUAUCUGCUUUGUGAGCAUAAUAUCCCAGAUUCAAUUCUGGGCAUCUCCA